AUGGAGAUUGCUAUUGAGAAUGUUUGGCCAGAUACAACACACCGUUGGUGCAAGUGGCAUAUUCUUCGUAAGGCUAAAGAGAGUUUGGGUUUUCAUUAUACAAAGAAGAGUGACUUCCGAGCAGAAUUGCAUAGAUUGGUGAACCACAUGCUAACUAUCGGAGAGUUUGAGAAGGGGUGGGUGGAGAUUAUGAAGAAAUACAGUUUGCAGAGCAAUACAUUCCUUACACAAAUUUUUGAGGUGAGGCGGAAGUGGGCGAAGCCAUAUUUUUCUGGUAAAUUUUGUGCAAAAAUGACGAGCACACAAAGGAGUGAGAGCGCAAAUCACAUGCUUAAAAAUUAUGUUCCUCCAGCAUGCCCAAUGAAUCUUUUUGUGAAGCAGUAUGCAAAAGUACUAUUUGAUAGAGAGCAAGAAGAAGGUUUCCAAGAAAAAAGGACCAAAUUGGCAGGAGUAGUCCUAAAAGUUGACAUACCAAUUGAACGACAUGCAAGCACGGUGUAUACUCGGGCCAUGUUUGAGCUGUUUGCAAAAAAGUCUUUACUACUCUGGAUCUUAUUACAUCGAAGAAUUAGUUCCAAGGACUGA
rnacentral:rRNA from 1 species